CCCCUAAGGCGAGGCCGAAAGGCGUAGUCGAUGGGAAACGGGUUAAUAUUCCCGUACUUGGUGUUACUGCGAAGGGGGGACGGAGAAGGCUAUGUUGGCCGGGCGACGGUUGUCCCGGUUUAAGCGUGUAGGUGUGUGUUCCAGGUAAAUCCGGUUCACUUUAACACUGAGGCGUGACGACGAGGCACUACGGUGCUGAAGCAACAAAUGCCCUGCUUCCAGGAAAAGCCUCUAAGCAUCAGGUAACAUCAAAUCGUACCCCAAACCGACACAGGUGGUCAGGUAGAGAAUACCAAGGCGCUUGAGAGAACUCGGGUGAAGGAACUAGGCAAAAUGGUGCCGUAACUUCGGGAGAAGGCACGCUGACACGUAGGUGAAGUGAUUUACUCAUGGAGCUGAAGUCAGUCGAAGAUACCAGCUGGCUGCAACUGUUUAUUAAAAACACAGCACUGUGCAAACACGAAAGUGGACGUAUACGGUGUGACGCCUGCCCGGUGCCGGAAGGUUAAUUGAUGGGGUCAGCGCAAGCGAAGCUCCUGAUCGAAGCCCCGGUAAACGGCGGCCGUAACUAUAACGGUCCUAAGGUAGCGAAAUUCCUUGUCGGGUAAGUUCCGACCUGCACGAAUGGCGUAAUGAUGGCCAGGCUGUCUCCACCCGAGACUCAGUGAAAUUGAACUCGCUGUGAAGAUGCAGUGUACCCGCGGCAAGACGGAAAGACCCCGUGAACCUUUACUAUAGCUUGACACUGAACAUUGAGCCUUGAUGUGUAGGAUAGGUGGGAGGCUUUGAAGCGUGGACGCCAGUCUGCGUGGAGCCGACCUUGAAAUACCACCCUUUAAUGUUUGAUGUUCUAACGUGGACCCGUUACCCGGGUUGCGGACAGUGUCUGGUGGGUAGUUUGACUGGGGCGGUCUCCUCCUAAAGAGUAACGGAGGAGCACGAAGGUUGGCUAAUCCUGGUCGGACAUCAGGAGGUUAGUGCAAUGGCAUAAGCCAGCUUGACUGCGAGCGUGACGGCGCGAGCAGGUGCGAAAGCAGGUCAUAGUGAUCCGGUGGUUCUGAAUGGAAGGGCCAUCGCUCAACGGAUAAAAGGUACUCCGGGGAUAACAGGCUGAUACCGCCCAAGAGUUCAUAUCGACGGCGGUGUUUGGCACCUCGAUGUCGGCUCAUCACAUCCUGGGGCUGAAGUAGGUCCCAAGGGUAUGGCUGUUCGCCAUUUAAAGUGGUACGCGAGCUGGGUUUAGAACGUCGUGAGACAGUUCGGUCCCUAUCUGCCGUGGGCGCUGGAGAACUGAGGGGGGCUGCUCCUAGUACGAGAGGACCGGAGUGGACGCAUCACUGGUGUUCGGGUUGUCAUGCCAAUGGCACUGCCCGGUAGCUAAAUGCGGAAGAGAUAAGUGCUGAAAGCAUCUAAGCACGAAACUUGCCCCGAGAUGAGUUCUCCCUGAGACUUUAGGUCUCCUGAAGGAACGUUGAAGACGACGACGUUGAUAGGCCGGGUGUGUAAGCGCAGCGAUGCGUUGAGCUAACCGGUACUAAUGAACCGUGAGGCUUAACCUUACAACGCCGAAG
rnacentral:rRNA from 1 species